rnacentral:rRNA from 1 species
CCUUCGGGUGGCAGCAGUAGGGAAUUUUGAGCAAUGGGCGAAAGCCUGACGCAGCAACGCCGCGUGAACGAGACGCCCUUCGGGGUGUAGAGUUCUGUCAGUGGGGACGAAAAAUGACGGUACCUGACUAAGAAGCCCCGGCUAAAUACGUGCCAGCAGCCGCGGUAAUACGUAUGGGGCAAGCGUUAUCCGGAUUUACUGGGUGUAAAGGGAGCGUAGGCGGCCUGGCAAGCCUGAUGUGAAAUACCGGGGCCCAACCCCGGGGCUGCAUUGGGAACUGCCAGGCUGGAGUGCCGGAGAGGCAGGCGGAAUGCCUAGUGUAGCGGUGAAAUGCGUAGAUAUUAGGAGGAACACCAGUGGCGAAGGCGGCCUGCUGGACGGUGACUGACACUGAGGCUCGAAAGCGUGGGGAGCAAACAGGAUUAGAUACCCCUGUAGUC